AAGGAAUUAGUUAGCUGUGUGGGAUGGACUACAGCUGAUGAGCUAUAUUCCUGCAGUGAUGACCACCAAAUUAUGAAAUGGAACCUUUUAACUAGUGAGACUACUCGAGUAGUGAAACUCCCAGAUGAUACUUAUCCCAUAGAUCUUCACUGGCUUCCCAGAAGUGUAGGUGGGAAGAAGCAGUCCCAUGCUGAGAGCUUUGUUCUUACAAGUUCUGAUGGCCACAAAUUGCUACAUUUUAUUAUUUGGAAGAUGUCUUGUGAAAAAGUAGGAGCUGGCAGACCGGGAAGGGGUGCAAAAGAUGGAUCAGCGAGUGAAUGCCUCCCAGUGUCACAGGGCUUUAUCCUGUACAGUGACAUGGCCCAUUGUUUUCCCGAUAAUGUGACUUAAACCCAAAUACUCAGUCGCUUGCCAACUGUCUUUUUUUCUGUUGUUGUUCUUUGUUUUUGUUUGUUUCCUGGUAUGUGUCAGGUUGCAGGGGCUUCUUAGAGGAGUACCGAGGCCUUUACUGAGUGGUAAUGAAAAGCCAAAAUGUGUAGUUCAGUGUAUGAUCUUUAAAAUGGUCUGUUCAAAUAAACUGAUUUAUACAAACCA